UUCCAUCUAAAGCUAAAUAUUGGCGAGAGACCGAUAGCGAACAAGUACCGUGAGGGAAAGAUGAAAAGCACUUUGGAAAGAGAAUGAAAUAGUACCUGAAAUUGCUGAAAGGGAAACGAGUGAAGUUAGACUUGCGCAGUUGGUAUUCAGCCUUGGCUUCGGUCUUGGUGCAUUUGCCUUCUAUUGCAGGCCAACAUCAGUUUACUUUGCGGUAAAAGGGUUUGGGGAAUGUGGCUUCUUCGGGAGUGUUAUAGCCCCUUACUGGAUGCCGAAUCGUAGACUGAGGAACGCAGCGCGCCUUCAUGGCAAGGCUUUCAAGCCUCGAGCGCUUAGGAUGUUGGUAGAAUAGCUUUACACGACCCGUCUUGAAACACGGACCAAGGAGUCUAACAUGCUUGCGAGUGUUUGGGUGUCAAACCCGAGCGCGGAAUGAAAGUGAAUGCAGGUGGGAUCCGUAACAGGUGCACCAUCGACCGAUCUGGAUAUUUAUUGAUGGAUUUGAGUAAGAGCAUGUAUGUUGGGACCCGAAAGAUGGUGAACUAUGCCUGAAUAGGGUGAAGCCAGAGG
rnacentral:rRNA from 1 species